rnacentral:lncRNA from 1 species
UAUUUAUAAAUUUAAUUUGAUGAAUAUGAAUUGCAAAAAUUUGUAAAGGCUAUGUAUUGAGUAGUCUCAGAGAUUAAUAGAAAUAUAUCAGGCUUAGUUUCGUAUUGGGGUCUAGUGUUAAUUUUUAUAUAUUUCGAUGAGACCGCAAAAAAUAUAUCAUAACCGAUUUACCGCGAUAUGCGGAAUGCAACAUUACGCACGUAAAUAAAUAUAAUAUUUUUCUAUCAUACUUUCUCAUCGCACAUAACAUAAUCUCUCUACAAUUCCAAACGAAGCCUUAUUCAGUUCAGAAAAAAAUUAAAUAAUUAAAAACAUAAUAAAAUAUAUUUAGUUUUCAAGACCUCUAUUUUAGCAGAGAUUGCAUGCACCAGCUCUGUACGUAUGUCAUAUACACUACAUUUUAUUUUUUAUUAUAAAUACAUUAAUAUCAUCUAUAACAUAUAUAAAGUCUAUAUAUCAAUAUCACAAAGUUUUAAAAAUCCCU